UACGUAGGGGGCGAGCGUUGUCCGGAAUUACUGGGCGUAAAGCGCACGUAGGCGGCUUUGUAAGUUAGAGGUGAAAGCCCAGGGCUUAACCCUGGAAUUGCCUUUAAGACUGCAUCGCUAGAAUUGUGGAGAGGUAAGUGGAAUUCCCGAGUGUAGAGGUGAAAUUCGUAGAUAUUCGGAAGAACACCAGUGGCGAAGGCGACUUACUGGACACAUAUUGACGCUGAGGUGCGAAAGCGUGGGAGCGAACAGG
rnacentral:rRNA from 1 species